UACGUAGGGUGCAAGCGUUGUCCGGAAUUAUUGGGCGUAAAGAGCUCGUAGGCGGUUUGUCGCGUCGGAUGUGAAAACCCGGGGCUCAACCCCGGGCCUGCAUUCGAUACGGGCAGACUAGAGUUCGGUAGGGGAGUCUGGAAUUCCUGGUGUAGCGGUGAAAUGCGCAGAUAUCAGGAGGAACACCGGUGGCGAAGGCGGGUCUCUGGGCCGAAACUGACGCUGAGGAGCGAAAGCGUGGGGAGCAAACAGG
rnacentral:rRNA from 1 species